UGGGGGAAUAUUGGACAAUGGGCGCAAGCCUGAUCCAGCAAUGCCGCGUGUGUGAAGAAGGCCUUCGGGUUGUAAAGCGCUUUUAUCAGGAGCGAAACGCUGUCGGCUAAUACCCGGCGGAACUGACGGUACCUGAGGAAUAAGCACCGGCUAACUUCGUGCCAGCAGCCGCGGUAAUACGAAGGGUGCAAGCGUUAAUCGGAAUUACUGGGCGUAAAGCGUGCGUAGGCGGUUUCUUAAGUCUGCUGUGAAAUCCCCGGGCUCAACCUGGGAAUGGCAGUGGAUACUGGGAGGCUAGAGUGUGUCAGAGGGUGGUGGAAUUCCCGGUGUAGCGGUGAAAUGCGUAGAGAUCGGGAGGAACAUCAGUGGCGAAGGCGGCCACCUGGGACAACACUGACGCUGAGGCACGAAAGCGUGGGGAGCAAACAGGAUUAGAUACCCUGGUAGUCCACGCCCUAAAGCGAUGCGAACUGGAUGUUGGUCUCAACUCGGAGAUCAGUGUCGAAGCUAACGCGUUAAGUUCGCCGCCUGGGGAGUACGGUCGCAAGACU
rnacentral:rRNA from 1 species